rnacentral:rRNA from 1 species
ACACGACUACAUUAGAUACCCCCGUAGUCCUAGCCGUAAACGAUACUCGCUAGGUGUCGGCCACGGUGCGACCGUUGUCGGUGCCGUAGGGAAGCCGUGAAGCGAGCCACCUGGGAAGUACGGCCGCAAGGCUGAAACUUAAAGGAAUUGGCGGGGAGCACCACAACGGGUGGAGCUUGCGGUUUAAUUGGAUCCAACGCCGGAAAUCUCACCGGGACCGACAGCAACAUGAAGGCCAGGCUGAAGACUUUGCCGGAUUAGCUG